UACAGAGGGUGCGAGCGUUAAUCGGAAUUACUGGGCGUAAAGAGCACGUAGGCGGCUUGGUAUGUCGGGUGUGAAAUCCCCGGGCUCAACCUGGGAACUGCAUCCGAAACUGCCUUGCUCGAGUAUGGGAGAGGGAAGUGGAAUUUCCGGUGUAGCGGUGAAAUGCGUAGAUAUCGGAAGGAACAUCAGUGGCGAAGGCGACUUCCUGGACCAAUACUGACGCUCAGGUGCGAAAGCGUGGGGAGCAAACAGG
rnacentral:rRNA from 1 species